CCUACGGGGGGCAGCAGUGGGGAAUAUUGGACAAUGGGGGGAACCCUGAUCCAGCCAUGCCGCGUGUGUGAAGAAGGCCCUCGGGUUGUAAAGCACUUUCAGUGAGGAAGAACGCCUGGUGGUUAAUACCCAUCAGGAAAGACAUCACUCACAGAAGAAGCACCGGCUAACUCCGUGCCAGCAGCCGCGGUAAUACGGAGGGUGCGAGCGUUAAUCAGAAUUACUGGGCGUAAAGCGCGCGUAGGUGGCUUGAUAAGCCGGUUGUGAAAGCCCCGGGCUCAACCUGGGAACGGCAUCCGGAACUGUCAAGCUAGAGUGCAGGAGAGGAAGGUAGAAUUCCCGGUGUAGCGGUGAAAUGCGUAGAGAUCGGGAGGAAUACCAGUGGCGAAGGCGGCCUUCUGGACUGACACUGACACUGAGGUGCGAAAGCGUGGGUAGCAAACAGGAUUAGAUACCCCAGUAGUC
rnacentral:rRNA from 1 species